UGACAGGUGGCCGCUACCCAUGUGAGUCAUCUUGGGAGUCUCAUAAUUACCAGGCAUGCCGAUCGGCCUUUAUUGACAAUAUGGCAUGCAGCCAUAUUAUCCGAGUAGCACCUAACCGUGUGACCGGACCAAUGUGGUCCCCAGGCAAUGACCGCCAACACGACUGGGUACAGCUCAAAUAAAGCUGAAGUCUUAGUGAAUUUGGGCAGUGAUUUGACUUUGGUCUGCC